rnacentral:rRNA from 1 species
UUGCGUCACUGAUGGAUGGACCCGCGGUGCAUUAGCUAGUUGGUGAGGUAACGGCUCACCAAGGCAACGAUGCAUAGCCGACCUGAGAGGGUGAUCGGCCACACUGGGACUGAGACACGGCCCAGACUCCUACGGGAGGCAGCAGUAGGGAAUCUUCGGCAAUGGACGAAAGUCUGACCGAGCAACGCCGCGUGAGUGAAGAAGGUUUUCGGAUCGUAAAACUCUGUUGUUAGAGAAGAACAAGGAUGAGAGUAAAACGUUCAUCCCUUGACGGUAUCUAACCAGAAAGCCACGGCUAACUACGUGCCAGCAGCCGCGGUAAUACGUAGGUGGCAAGCGUUGUCCGGAUUUAUUGGGCGUAAAGCGAGCGCAGGCGGUUUCUUAAGUCUGAUGUGAAAGCCCCCGGCUCAACCGGGGAGGGUCAUUGGAAACUGGGAGACUUGAGUGCAGAAGAGGAGAGUGGAAUUCCAUGUGUAGCGGUGAAAUGCGUAGAUAUAUGGAGGAACACCAGUGGCGAAGGCGGCUCUCUGGUCUGUAACUGACGCUGAGGCUCGAAAGCGUGGGGAGCGAACAGGAUUAGAUACCCUGGUAGUCCACGCCGUAAACGAUGAGUGCUAAGUGUUGGAGGGUUUCCGCCCUUCAGUGCUGCAGCAAACGCAUUAAGCACUCCGCCUGGGGAGUACGACCGCAAGGUUGAAACUCAAAGGAAUUGACGGGGGCCCGCACAAGCGGUGGAGCAUGUGGUUUAAUUCGAAGCAACGCGAAGAACCUUACCAGGUCUUGACAUCCUUUGACCACUCUAGAGAUAGAGCUUCCCCUUCGGGGGCAAAGUGACAGGUGGUGCAUGGUUGUCGUCAGCUCGUGUCGUGAGAUGUUGGGUUAAGUCCCGCAACGAGCGCAACCCUUAUUGUUAGUUGCCAUCAUUUAGUUGGGCACUCUAGCGAGACUGCCGGUGACAAACCGGAGGAAGGUGGGGAUGACGUCAAAUCAUCAUGCCCCUUAUGACCUGGGCUACACACGUGCUACAAUGGGAAGUACAACGAGUUGCGAAGUCGCGAGGCUAAGCUAAUCUCUUAAAGCUUCUCUCAGUUCGGAUUGUAGGCUGCAACUCGCCUACAUG